CAGACCAAAAUCCCAAACAAGGAAAUGGUGGGGGAAUAAAACGACCAGAUUAUUUAAUUAAUGCAUGUAAUAAUUAAUAUUUUAUUUUAUUGUAAAUUAAGACGUAUUUAUGGGUUAAAAUGGAUUACGACUUCAAAACAAAGCUGGCGGCCGAGAGAGAGAGAGUAGAAGAUCUGUUCGAAUAUGAAGGUUGCAAAGUGGGUCGAGGCACCUACGGGCACGUUUAUAAAGCUAAGCGCAAAGACGGGAAAGAUGAAAAGGAGUAUGCACUGAAACAAAUAGAAGGCACUGGAAUAUCGAUGUCUGCGUGCAGGGAAAUCGCUCUGUUACGAGAAUUGAAACAUCCAAAUGUGAUCGCCCUGCAGAAAGUGUUCCUGUCCCACAGUGACAGAAAGGUUUGGCUCCUCUUCGACUAUGCCGAACAUGACCUUUGGCACAUCAUCAAGUUCCACCGCGCCUCCAAGGCCAACAAGAAGCCCAUGCAGCUGCCCCGAGGGAUGGUGAAGUCUCUCCUGUAUCAGAUUCUGGAUGGGAUCCAUUACCUCCAUGCCAACUGGGUGCUCCACAGGGAUCUGAAACCAGCUAACAUCCUGGUGAUGGGGGAAGGUCCUGAACGAGGAAGAGUUAAAAUCGCUGACAUGGGUUUCGCCAGACUCUUCAACUCUCCCCUCAAGCCGCUGGCGGACCUUGAUCCUGUGGUGGUGACGUUCUGGUACAGGGCCCCUGAGCUGCUGCUGGGGGCCCGGCACUACACCAAAGCUAUCGAUAUCUGGGCAAUUGGCUGCAUCUUUGCAGAGCUGCUAACCUCGGAGCCCAUCUUUCACUGUCGCCAAGAAGACAUCAAGACCAGUAAUCCCUUCCAUCAUGACCAGCUGGACAGGAUAUUCAGCGUCAUGGGUUUCCCCGCAGAUAAGGACUGGGAAGACAUCAGGAAGAUGCCAGAGUACCCCACACUGCAGAAGGAUUUCAGGAGGACAACGUAUGCAAACAGCAGCUUAAUCAAAUAUAUGGAGAAGCAUAAAGUCAAACCAGACAGCAAAGUUUUCCUGUUGCUCCAGAAACUCCUCACCAUGGACCCCACCAAAAGGAUCACAUCGGAGCAGGCGCUGCAGGACCCCUACUUCCUGGAGGACCCGUUGCCAACCACUGAUGUGUUUGCUGGGUGUCAGAUCCCCUACCCAAAACGAGAGUUUCUUAACGAAGACGAGCCAGAGGAGAAAACAGAAAAGAACCAGACCCAGCAGCACCAGCAGACAACAGGCCAGACUCAGGCCCAGAACCAGCAGCAGACGACAGCCCAGCAGGCCCCCUCCCAGCAGAGCUCAGCCCAAACCAACGGCACCUCCGGAGCCACGGGAGCCACCACCGGCGGGGGUUUACAACACGGCCAGGACCAGGGGCCCCCGAACAAGAAACCUCGGAUUGGGCCUUCUGGGGCCUCCUCAGGCACCGGGGUGCUACAGUCAGAGUACCAGCACUCCGGCUCCCGCCUUGGUUACCAAAGCAACGUCCAAGGUUCCACUCAGCCCCAGAGCACCAUGGGAUACACAUCGUCAUCCCAGCAGAGCUCCCAGUACUCCCACCAGACCCACCGUUACUGAGGCUCUGCGUUGCUCCUGAACCAGCAGAGGAGUCAGCUCCUCCUCCUCCUCUCCAACCUCAGCAGAUGUCACCAUACGCCCCCCGGCUCCAGCCGAGGCAUCGCUCCCUUAUCCUGGUCGGACGCCCCUCAGUGCAUUACAUCAUUCCAACUCAAACACCCACCUUUUCAGCCCCCCAUCACCUUUGACCUCUUAUCUGACAGCCUUCAAGGGCGCUAUAACAUGAAGGCAAAAAAACACGGGAACCAAAAAAAUCCAAGUUCUGCCUCCUCUGGCUGGUGAAACAUUUUUAAAGCAACUGAAAAUAAUGUAAGAUAGAUGUGAAGGCGUCACACACAGACUCAGAACCGUGGCACUUAUAAACACAACGUUCCUCACGAGGAAGAAUCGCAGCUGUGUUCAUAUAUGUACAUUAUAUAGCACCUUUUUCUAUUUGAUUUUUUUUUUCUCGCUUGUUUGUUAGAGUUUUCAAGUUUACCUUGAUAGUUGAUGUCAUUGUAAAUAUUGUUACAUAUGGAAGCGAUCAGACGAAAUACAGGAGGUAAAGCCCUUUACUGUCAUCUCUAGUGUACUAUGACCUUGGAUAAUCAAAAGAAAAGGAGAACAAGUUUGAGCUAACCCUGUCCUUUUAGGUAAAAAAAAAAAAAGACACACAGUCAAUGUUUCUACACAGAAAAAAAUCAGCUCUUCAGCUGAUGCAAUUGCAGGGAAAUAUUAAAUGCGCAAUUUAACUUAAUCUUCUUAUUAUAGGGUUUCUAUAUUUAGACCUCUCUUUAUCUAGAUUUGAAUUUGGAAAGUAAGAAAAGUAGUUGUCUUUUUACAGCUCUAAGUUGUGUAUAUUCUGAUUCACUCCUCUUCUUGUAGAGAUAAGACAACAUUUGACAUGGUGAAGAUGUUUCCUCUGACAACAACAGCAGUUUCAGGAGGUUGGACGCCUCUCGUUUGUGGCCAGCAGCUCUGGAGUGGUUUUUUUUGUUUUUUUUCCGGGAGCUGCUGGUGGACACUUCACUUUGACACCCAUUGUGAACCCUCAAGACUUUCAAGGUUUCUGAACACGAACGUGCGCAUAAAACGUACAGGGCAGCUAAACAGUAUGCCCCCUCCCCCUUAUCCUCACACCCCAUAUGCUUCAUGAGACUGUUACUGCCUGAUGUCAGAUUGUUGUUGUUGUUUUUUUUUUUAAGGUUUUAUUGUUAUUAUUGUUGCCCUGUGAGUGAGUGUGUGUGUGUCUGUGUGUGUGUGUGUGUGUUGGUGUGCGUAGGUGUGUGUGUUUUUUUAUGCAUGUUGUUCAUCCUUUUACUCACUAGAACUGCACUGACCACUGAAGUGAUCUGCAAAGAGCUGGAACAAACGUGGGAUGACUGUGCAGAGAGAGAGAUAGGAAACAUGGAGAGAGUUGCAACAAAAGUCCCUGGCCAGGAUUGAGGACAUUAUGUGGUAUGUGGCUUAACCUUUAAGCUACGAAGACACCUCAUUCAGUUACACUUUUGACUGUAUUUUCACACAGUGAUGCGGACUGUAGAUUUUGACCCCUGUGUCUUCCAUUGGGAUUGAGUUAGGGAUCUCUUCAC